AUUUUCUCGCAUCUCUAGUCCCUAAGUCCAAGAUUCUCCGCCGAUUUGAAGAAACUCUAACCCGGACAACUACUCUCCUCCUCCUUCUUGUUGAGGUCACUGUUGAAUCACCACUCUCCAUGAUUUAAAGAUAAAAACAAAAAAUUGAUAGCACGAAUACACAAUCGUCUUCUCCUCAAAGUAAUCAAACAUGGUGGAGGCAGCAGGAGAAGGAGAGGUUCGCAUGUUUCUUGCCGCAGCGACUCCGAGUUCGUGUAAAAGGCACGGUGGCUACUUUAAUGUCUUCGUCUAGGUAAAUAAAGCUUCAAAGACACAUCCCCUGUACACAAGUCGUCCAUCUCCAACUACCCAGUCCACACCUCCCUUGUCCACAUGUACACACAUCUCAUGUACACAACUUGUCCAUCCCCAACUCCUUAGUCCACACCUCCCUUGUCCGCCCAACAGGACAACCCCGUUCCACACUCCACAAAUCCCUGCUGAGCUAACUCAAAGCUCCCCUACACAGCUCCCCGUACACAACUACCUCCCCUACACACGUCCGUCGUACACACUUCCCUGAUCACGCUUUAUCCGUCCACAACACUCCUGUCCACAAGUAUCCCCUACACAACACCACCGUCCACAACACUCCUGUCCACAAUAAUUCUGUCCACAUCACUCGCAAACACAAAACACCAAUCAUCAACCCACCAAGCUUCUCCUAAUCCUCCUCUCUUCCCGUUGUUGGAGCUAUGACAUGGCUCUAUAGGAAGCUCCUCUAAGCAAUACAAUUAAGACACCCUCUUGGUUGUUUUUUAUGUUACAUAUUUUUGUUUUUCCCUUCAUCGGCUUUAGUGUAUGUUUUGCAUUUGUCAUGUUCAUGAACGCCUUUUACAAUGUAAUGGUCAUAUAGAAACUCAUCUUUAGCUUCUUUAAUCUACAUAAUUUUCCACUGGCUUGUUUACUAUUUUGUUAGUUUCAAAGAAACACUAAAUGGUGCUCAACUAAACCACAAUUGUUUUUU